CUAAACUGACAGAAUUACUGAAGAUGGCUGAUAUAAAAAUGCUGUGAACAAUGUAAUAAACAAUGGCAUGCUGUUUGAUACAGUCAGGCAGAGGGUAUGGCAGGCCCUCAGACAAUAAUCCAGCAGCCGU